AGGACGAACGCUGGCGGCGUGCUUAACACAUGCAAGUCGAGCGGUAAGGCCUUUCGGGGUACACGAGCGGCGAACGGGUGAGUAACACGUGGGUGAUCUGCCCUGCACUCUGGGAUAAGCCUGGGAAACUGGGUCUAAUACCGGAUAUGACCUGCUCUCGCAUGGGGGUGGGUGGAAAGAUUUAUCGGUGCAGGAUGGGCCCGCGGCCUAUCAGCUUGUUGGUGGGGUAAUGGCCUACCAAGGCGACGACGGGUAGCCGACCUGAGAGGGUGACCGGCCACACUGGGACUGAGACACGGCCCAGACUCCUACGGGAGGCAGCAGUGGGGAAUAUUGCACAAUGGGCGAAAGCUGAUGCAGCGACGCGCGUGAGGAUGAAGGCCUCGGUUGUAACCUCUUCAGCAGGACGAAGCGCAAGUGACGUACCUGCAGAAGAAGACACCGGACUAACUACGCGCCACGCAGCCGAC
rnacentral:rRNA from 1 species